rnacentral:rRNA from 1 species
AACGUAGGAGGCAAGCGUUAUCCGGAAUUACUGGGCGUAAAGGGCGUCUAGGCGGUAUGGCAAGCAGGAUGUGAAAGCUCCUGGCUCAACUGGGAGAGUGCGUUCCGAACUGCCGAACUAGAGGCCAGGCGAUGGGGGUGGAAUUCCCGGUGGAGUGGUGAAAUGCGUAGAUAUCUGGAGGAACACCGGUGGCGAAGGCGGCAUCCUGGACCGGUAUUGACGCUGAGGCGCGAAAGCCAGGGGAGCAAACGGG